rnacentral:misc_RNA from 1 species
GAUGAAGAACGUAGCGAAAUGCGAUACUUGGUGUGAAUUGCAGAAUCCCGUGAACCAUCGAGUCUUUUAACGCAAGUUGCGCCCGAAGCCUCGGCUAAGAGCACGUCUGCCUGGGCGUCACGCAUCGCGUCUCCCCCAAACCGCCAAGGCGGAGGGGAAGGAAGAUGGCUUCCCGUGCCUCACCCGGCGCGGUUGGCCUAAAUUUGGAGCCCGCGGCACUUAGCUCUUGCGGCGAUAGGUGGUGAACAAGGCCUUGGCCGUGCAAACAACCCGCUGCGAAGCUCUAUGUCACGUGCGCUCGUCGGACCCUUUGAAGUUGCCUUCGGUGACUUAAAACCUUUGCGACCCCAGGUCAGGCGGGGCUACCCGCUGAAUUUAAGCAUAUCAAUAAGCGGAGGA